rnacentral:rRNA from 1 species
UCAGCUAAAUAUACGCUAUUAGGUGGAUGACUUAGCUCCAAAUGCCGAUGAAGGAUGCAACUAACUGCAGAAAGCUUUGGCGAGUAGUACGUAUACAUUGAACCAAAGAUUUCCUAAUGGGACUUCCUAUUAAAUCCGUAAGGAUGGGGAACACAGGGAAUUGAAACAUCUUAGUACCUGUAGGAAAAGAAACCAAGAGAGAUGCUGUAAGUAAGAGCGACUGAAAACAGCAUAAAGCAAACUGAAUCCUUUUUUGAAAGAAAAAGGAGAUGUGGUGUUAUAAGACUAUCUAUACGGCUCUGAUUUCGGGAACUUGAAGUUUCUUGGAAUAGAACAUCAAAGAGUGUGACAAUCACGUAAAGGUAACUGAAAAGAGCUUGAUAGUAUCUUGAGUACUGUUCACUGGAAUCUGAACAGGAAAUUGGGAGUCAUCAACUUCCAACUUUAAAUACGUUUGGAGUCUGAUAGAAGAGAAGUACCGUGAGGGAAAGUUGAAAAGUACCCUUAACAGGGAAUGAAAAGAACCUGAAACCUAAUAGUCAUAGUUUGAUAGGGCGAUUAUAUCGUUCUAUCGUACGUUUCGAAUAACGUGUCAGAGAGUGUACUUAAGUGGUGAGGAUAACUUUGAAAAAGGUAUCCGAAGGGAAACCAAUUGCCCGCAAUUUAUGAGGGGCAUGGUAUGAAAGUGCCAAUAAUCACUUGGGUACGACCCGAAGCCGGGCGAUCUAACCCUGGGUAGGAUGAAGCAAGGAUAAAACCUUGUGGAGGUCCGAAGAGGUUCUACGGACAAGUGUUCUUCUAACCUGGGGCUAGGGGUGAAAAGCCAAUCGAGCCCGGCGAUAGCUGGUUCCUACCAAAAUUGGCUGUAGUCAAGUCCUGAACGAGAUUGCUAAGAUUGUAAAGCUACGGAUCAAAGGAUUAGGCCGGGAAACUGGUCGACCUUUUGUCCAACUCAGAAUGUCUUAGCGUUGAAGACUUUAGGAAACGGGGAUGUGGGGUAAACUUACAUUCCAAGAGGGGAACAACCCAGACUAUAGUUAAGGUCCUUAAAUAAUGGUUAAGUGUUAAAGGGUGAAAAGUGUUUGCAAUCUCAGACAGCGAGGAGGUUGGCUCAGAAGCAGCCAUCCUUUAAAAAGUGCGUAACAGCUUACUCGUCAAGGUUGUAAGUCUUGAAAGUAAUAGGGCUAAACCAUUUACCGAUACUAUAGAUUAUCCAUAAGAUAUAUGGUAGGUAGGCGUUCUUUUAGGCUAGAAGCAUUUCCAAAAGGAAAUGUGGACCUGGAAGAAAUGAGAAUUCUGACGGUAGUAAGAUCAGAGCAGAGUGAGAAUCUCUGUCACCGAAAGGGCAAGGGUUCCUUGACAAUGUAGAUCAGUCAAGGGUUAGUUAGUCCUAACCAAACCCAUAACAUGGAAUUUGGGAAAGGGAAAAAGGUUAAUAUUCCUUUACUGCCCAGGUAUGUGCGGCAACGCAAGUUUUGUUCCUGACACUUCUGAAUAGAUUGACACAAUUUAACUGUUGUGCUAAUUAGGAUAGAUUAAGGGAGUAUCAUAAUGAUGAGAACUUAAUCAAACCUAAGAAUGGUGGGCCUAUGGCUCAUUCAGUUGAUAUCCGGAGUUCUUAAAAAGGGAACAGAAAUAAAUCCUGAGUAACUAUACCCAGAACCGGCACAGGUGCCCCUAGGUGAGAAGCCUAAGGUGUGAAGGAGUAAUCUAGCUGAGGGAAUUCGGCAAAUUGGUCCCGUGUCUUCGGACUAAGGGAUCCCUGCAGUUGUGUAAUUAUUUAUAUGAUUGUAGGGGGAAGUAACCAAAAGGGUCCGACUGUUUAACAAAAACUUAACUUUCUGCCAGCCUGUAAAGGUGUGUAUAGAAAGUGACGUCUGCCCAGUGCCAGUACUUUAAACUCUGUUUCAACGGAGCUAAGAGCUGGUAAACGGCGGGAGUAACUAUAACUCUCUUAAGGUAGCGUAAUACCUUGCCGAUUGAUUGUCGGCUUGCAUGAAUGUCGUAACGAGAUCCUUACUGUCCCCAGUUAGAAUCCUCUGAACACUCCUUCCUGGUGCAAAGGCCAGGGAACUCCAAUGGGAAGUGAAGACCCCGUGAAACUUUACUGUAGCUUGUAGCUGUAACGUGAGUUUUGUUGUAUAGUGUAAGUGGGAGCUGUUUGAAGCUUAAACGUCAGUUUGAGUUUAGGCGCCAAUGUAACACCACUCUUCAAAACUCGCGCUGCUAACUGGGCAACCAGGACAACUAUAGGUAGACAGUUUGGCUGGGGUGGCACCCUGCUGAAAAAAUAUCAGCAGGGCCCUAUGGUUGACUCAAUCGGUAUAGAAAUCCGAUGUAGAGUGCAAGGGCAUAAGUCAGCCUGAUUGAAUUCCCAAUAAGAAGGUAUUCAAGAAUGAAAAUUUGGCCUAGCGAACUUCUAUGUCCCUCCUGAUGAGGGCUAGGAAUGACCGAAAAGUUACUCCGGGGAUAACAGAGUUGUCGCGCCCGAG